rnacentral:rRNA from 1 species
AUGGUUUAUCCGCAAGGAUAUUCCAUGGCAGACGAGUGAGUAACGCGUAGGAAUCUACCCUUAAGAUGGGAAUAACCCCGGGAAACUGGGGAUAAUACCCAAUGUGUUCGCAAGAACAAAGUCGCAAGACGCUUAAGGAUGAGCCUGCGUCCUAUCAGCUAGUUGGCGGGGUAAAAGCCCACCAAGGCUAUGACGGGUAGGGGGCGUGAGAGCGUGAACCCCCACGAUGGCACUGAGAUACGGGCCAUACACCUACGGGUGGCAGCAAGUAGGAAUAUUGCACAAUGGGUCGAAAGACCUGAUGCAGCGACGCCGUGUGAAGGAAG